GGACGUGAGGGUAAUCUGACUAUGACAUCUAUCAGACCAUUGAUCACUCGGGUUAAUUGGUCUAAGCUAGAUGGCAUGAAAGGUGACCCUUUUCCUUACUGAUACAUGUAUGCGCACAGUGGAAGAGGAACCUUUCGAUGCCAAAGAUACAUUAACAGAUGUUUUCCCAUUAGAAUUUUCAAAAAGCUCUCAAAGAAAGGGGUUUUGAGAUUUUCUCUCUCUCCUUUUCCCUCUUUAUCCUCUGUCUGUCUAU
rnacentral:snRNA from 1 species